AACGAACGCUGGCGGCAGGCUUAACACAUGCAAGUCGAGCGCCCCGCAAGGGGAGCGGCAGACGGGUGAGUAACGCGUGGGAACAUACCCUUUGGUUCGGAAUAACUCAGGGAAACUUGAGCUAAUACCGGAUACGUCCGUAAGGAGAAAGAUUUAUCGCCAAAGGAUUUGGCCCCGCGUCCGAUUAGCUAGUUGGUGAGGUAACGGCUCACCAAGGCUACGAUCGGUAGCUGGUCUGAGAGGAUGAUCAGCCACAUUGGGACUGAGACACGGCCCAAACUCUACGGGAGGCAGCAGUGGGGAAUAUUGGGACAAAUGGGCGCAAGCCUGAUCCAGCCAUGCCGCGUGAGUGAUCGAAGGCCUUAGGGGUUUGUAAAAGCUCUUUUGUCCGGGAA
rnacentral:rRNA from 1 species